UACGUAGGGGGCAAGCGUUGUCCGGAUUUACUGGGCGUAAAGAGCGUGUAGGCGGCCAAGCAGGUCCGUUGUGAAAACUGGAGGCCCAACCUCCAGACGUCGACGGAAACCGUAUGGCUAGAGUCCGGAAGAGGAGAGUGGAAUUCCUGGUGUAGCGGUGAAAUGCGCAGAUAUCAGGAAGAACACCAAUGGCGAAGGCAGCUCUCUGGGACGGUACUGACGCUGAGACGCGAAAGCGUGGGGAGCGAACAGG
rnacentral:rRNA from 1 species